rnacentral:rRNA from 1 species
UAGGGAAUCUUCCACAAUGGGCGCAAGCCUGAUGGAGCAACACCGCGUGAGUGAAGAAGGGUUUCGGCUCGUAAAGCUCUGUUGUUAAAGAAGAACACGUAUGAGAGUAACUGUUCAUACGUUGACGGUAUUUAACCAGAAAGUCACGGCUAACUACGUGCCAGCAGCCGCGGUAAUACGUAGGUGGCAAGCGUUAUCCGGAUUUAUUGGGCGUAAAGAGAGUGCAGGCGGUUUUCUAAGUCUGAUGUGAAAGCCUUCGGCUUAACCGGAGAAGUGCAUCGGAAACUGGAUAACUUGAGUGCAGAAGAGGGUAGUGGAACUCCAUGUGUAGCGGUGGAAUGCGUAGAUAUAUGGAAGAACACCAGUGGCGAAGGCGGCUACCUGGUCUGCAACUGACGCUGAGACUCGAAAGCAUGGGUAGCGAACAGGAUUAGAUACCCUGGUAGUCCAUGCCGUAAACGAUGAGUGCUAGGUGUUAGACCCUUUCCGGGGUUUAGUGCCGCAGCUAACGCAUUAAGCACUCCGCCUGGGGAGUACGACCGCAAGGUUG